rnacentral:rRNA from 1 species
UACGUAGGAGGCGAGCGUUUGUCCGGAGUUACUGGGCGUAAAGGGUGCGCAGGUGGCCGUGCGCGUGGGGAGUGAAAUCGCCUGGCUUAACUGGGCGGGGGCUUUCCAGACGGCGCGGCUUGAGCCACAGAGGGGGGCGUGGAAUUCCGGGUGGAGCGGUGAAAUGCGUAGAUAUCAAGAGGAACACCUGAGGUGAAGACGGGUUGCUGGGCCGACACUGACGCUGAUGCGCGAAAGCCAGGGGAGCAAACGGG